rnacentral:rRNA from 1 species
CCNCGGCUUAACCGAGGAACUGCAUCGGAAACUGUUUUUCUUGAGUGCAGAAGAGGAGAGUGGAACUCCAUGUGUAGCGGUGGAAUGCGUAGAUAUAUGGAAGAACACCAGUGGCGAAGGCGGCUCUCUGGUCUGCAACUGACGCUGAGGCUCGAAAGCAUGGGUAGCGAACAGGAUUAGAUACCCUGGUAGUCCAUGCCGUAAACGAUGAGUGCUAAGUGUUGGGAGGUUUCCGCCUCUCAGUGCUGCAGCUAACGCAUUAAGCACUCCGCCUGGGGAGUACGACCGCAAGGUUGAAACUCAAAGGAAUUGACGGGGGCCCGCACAAGCGGUGGAGCAUGUGGUUUAAUUCGAAGCAACGCGAAGAACCUUACCAGGUCUUGACAUCUAGUGCAAUCUGUAGAGAUACGGAGUUCCCUUCGGGGACGCUAAGACAGGUGGUGCAUGGCUGUCGUCAGCUCGUGUCGUGAGAUGUUGGGUUAAGUCCCGCAACGAGCGCAACCCUUGUUAUUAGUUGCCAGCAUUAAGUUGGGCACUCUAAUGAGACUGCCGGUGACAAACCGGAGGAAGGUGGGGAUGACGUCAAGUCAUCAUGCCCCUUAUGACCUGGGCUACACACGUGCUACAAUGGGCAGUACAACGAGAAGCAAGCCUGCGAAGGCAAGCGAAUCUCUGAAAGCUGUUCUCAGUUCGGACUGCAGUCUGCAACUCGACUGCACGAAGCUGGAAUCGCUAGUAAUCGCGGAUCAGCACGCCGCGGUGAAUACGUUCCCGGGCCUUGUACACACCGCCCGUCACGCCAUGGGAGUCUGCAAUGCCCAAAGCCGGUGGCCUAACCUUCGGGAAGGAGCCGUCUAAGGCAGG